GGGGAGGAGAGGGUGGGGAACGCGGGCCGAGAAGAGUGAACGGCAAAGCGGACCGAAAAGGGUGAAUGGGGAUAGGCAAGCUCUGUGUUGUGGAAUGCGUUUUGCAUUGGCAAUUCGCUGGCCACAUUACAAUGAGGAACCCAACCAAAAAUGGUUUAUAUCUCCGCAAUUACCUCCCCAACUAUGGAUCCUCUGAGAUCUAUCAUUUGAAUUCUGGAAUUGGCAUUUACUGGAAAGAUGGGAAACCAGGCUGAUAACAGACCACUGCAGGAGGUUCAGGUGCUCAUAGAGGAAUUAAUUUCUACAAGCAGCUUUCCAGCACAUGCCCAGGGAAGUUGUAGUCAAGCUCAGCUGUCCACCUCUGCGUUCUACACUUGUAGCCACCUCAUGUCCUUUCCUUUCUGUCACUGUU